CCGGGCGUUCGCAGGGGAGGAUUUUCCUUGCUGCUGCUUAACUUGGAGGAGUACUACUUUGAACAGCAUAGAGCCAAUCACAUUUUGCACAAGGGCAGUCACCAUGAAAGGAAAAUCAGAGGCUCCUUAAAAAUAUGUUCAAAAUCGGUGAUUUUUGAACCAGAUUCAAUAUCCCAGCCCAUCAUCAAGAUUCCUUUGAGAGACUGUAUAAAAAUAGGAAAGCAUGGAGAAAAUGGAGCCAAUAGACACUUCACAAAGGCAAAAUCUGGGGGUAUUUCACUCAUUUUCAGUCAGGUAUAUUUCAUUAAAGAACAUAAUGUUGUUGCACCAUAUAAAAUAGAAAGGGUAAGUAAAGCUUUUCAUGUAUUUCCAGCAAUUUAUAUAGUCAUUUUGAACAAUAAAAUUUUGUGACU
rnacentral:lncRNA from 1 species